rnacentral:ncRNA from 1 species
UAACAUUGUCCACACCCGCUAACCGAGACCUAUGGGUGUAUAAAUUACGUCUCUCAUAUCCCCGCUAAGGGUGCGGGGAGCAUAGUAUCUCCA